rnacentral:rRNA from 1 species
CCUACGGGUGGCAGCAGUGGGGAAUAUUGGGCAAUGGGCGCAAGCCUGACCCAGCAACGCCGCGUGAAGGAAGAAGGCUUUCGGGUUGUAAACUUCUUUUGUCAGGGACGAAGCAAGUGACGGUACCUGACGAAUAAGCCACGGCUACCUACGUGCCAGCAGCCGCGGUAAUACGUAGGUGGCAAGCGUUAUCCGGAUUUACUGGGGGUAAAGGGCGUGUAGGCGGGACUGCAAGUCAGAUGUGAAAACCAGGGGCUCAACCUGUGGCCUGCAUGUGAAACUGUAGUUCUUGAGUACUGGAGAGGAGGACGGAAUUCCUGGUGUGGCGGUGAAAUGGGUAGAUAUUAGGAGGAACACCAGGGGCGAGGGCGGUCUGCUGGACAGCAACUGACGCUGGGGAGCGAAAGCGUGGGGAGCAAACAGGAUUAGAUACCCCUGUAGU